CUGCCUCAGUGUGGUUUGACAGCGGUGCUAGGUCAGCACCCAGGAUCAGAGCCGGGGAACACUGGGCCGCCAAAUCAGAGAGCAUGAACUUAACCACCACCCCACCCAGCCUUCUUGUUUACACCACACGCCCUACUUUGCCAGGGUCUGCCCAAUGCUGAGCCAGUGCCCGCCUGCAACAAGAUUUUAGAAAGUCACCCCUGAGCUUCCAGAUGCCCUGAAGCUUCAGUUUGGAGUCUUUCUCUCUCUGCCUGGGUUUCCCCUGCAACUCUUCCCAGCACCAACCCACCCCCCACACACAUACACACUCUAGUUCCCCACUCAAGGGUUCCCAUCACCUGCAGGAAGCUCAGGAACCAGGGCAAGAGGGCAAGAGUCCACAGCAUCACCCCAGCUGUUAGCAUUGGCCUUAAUACUCCCUGGGCACAACUGACUCAAGGCGUACACCAUGGGAGACUGUCUCACUCCCACUCAUUACAGAAGCUGCGGGAGGAUCCUCAGAAGAAUAGAAACUGCUGAGGCUGAGCAGGAAAGGUCGGAGCAGGAAAUCAGAGGAAGAUCUGGCCGGAUAAGCACUCCAUAAAUGCUGUCCACAGAGAAGUCCUGUUGGAGCUGGUUUCCAAACAGGAAAAGUCACAGGUGAACAGAAAAUUCCCGGUAUCCCACGUGGCCGGCAGCACGAAUAAUGUUUCCCAGCCACUGGCCCCAUUGCUGUGAGACUCCGAGAAGACCGUUAGUUCCCUCCAAGGACAAUUGAGCCACAAGAUUCAUUCACCUUGAGUGAAAAUGUCCCAGAGGUCAACACUUCCAUCUACGACAAAUAAAAUGGAUGUUUAGACCCCAGCAACACAACAGGGACGUCCCCCUGGCCUUCAGCAGCUGGACAGCUCCCUGGCAACAGCCCUGUGGCCUACCUUCUGGGAGAAGUGGCUCCUGCUGUCCUACCGAAUGAAGAGAAAAUGUCCAGGUAGCUGAUGACUGUGAAAGGGGGAUGGCCUUAGACAUGGCUGUGAAGUCAUCAUGCAGGGGGUGGGACUCUGGAAACCCUGGAAUCAGGGCCAGGGCUGUCCCCUCCAGGGAGGCACAGGCCUAGCUCUCCUCUCCUCUCCUCUCAGCUCCUUGAUUCUCCCUGUCGUCCCAUCAUAAGGGGGUCAGGAGUGGAGGGGAGGGUCUUGUUCUGGAAGAGAGGAAGCCCCUUAAUCACUUCCCCUCCCCUCUUCUUAUCCCUUUCUUCCAUAUCUUUGUUAUACCACACCUGUAAGUAAAGAAAAAUGCCUAAACUCAGGUAUAGUUCACCAGCCACUUAUAGAGCUACCGCCUGUGUAAUUACCAUCCAGGUGAAAACAGAGCCCUCAGUGCCCCAGCAAGGAGCCCCUGUGCCUCUGUCCACACAGAACCCAUCCCUCCCCCCACAGCUGUCCACUAAUGUGACUCCUGCCCCUGCCCCUCUCCUCUCUGGUUCCUCCCCCUUCGCUCCUCUUGGUUUUCAUCUUCUUAACGUCCCUCCAUCUCAUCACUCCUCCAGGAGCUUCCACAUCUUCCUAUGCCAUUGCUCUGGGAUCUCUCCCUCCUCCUCCCCCUCUUCCACCCCACCCUAGGGAUGGAGAAUCCAGAAUUGACUCCCUAGAGGGUGAGGCUUCAUCCCUGGAAGCAGCAGCAGGUACAAGUGAAAGGAACUCUAGGGUUCAAGGUACAUCCCAGGAGACUGAGGGCACCUAGUAUGUUUGUGGGGUCCACCUCCGACCUGGGAACCAACUAUUAUGGGUUGGAAGUCUGUUCCUCCCUGAGGCCAAAGUCCAUGGUCAUGCAAUGGGGAGGAAAACCUCUAUCUGCAUGUAUUUUGGGAAACAACUCAGACUCCAAAACUGACACUGGAUGCGGUCUCCUCCUUGUGUGCACAGCCCUGUCCUGCUGCUUGGAGCCCAGGGAGACACUGGGGAGGCCCCAGGUGAGGAGACUAAAGGGGAGCUCUGGUCUUCUGUCCUCAGCCCUUUGGUCACACUGGACCUCCACCUCUCUGCUCUCUCCUAUUUGCACAGCAAAGGUAGAGGAUGGGCUGUGGUCUGAGUCAGGCAGAGGUGGCUGACCUGGAGGCUGGACAUCAAUGGGGGAUGAAGAUGCCUUCUGAGCAACCCUGGGCUCAGGCUCGGGGGUGGAGCAGGGAUUGGAGGAGAGGAGAGCUCUGGAGCCCUGCCCUGCAUCUGAGGUUUCCAUUUUUCCUACUACAACCCCUCUCUGCUGCUCCUUGAUGACAACAAGUGAAAAGCAAUUUUUUCUUUGACAUUCUCUUGCUUUUCUGAGGGCUGUUUUUAUAAACAAACACUUUAAUUUUAGAAUAUUUUGAUAUUCACAGAAAAGUUGCAGUUACUACAGAGUUCCUGUAUAUCCCAAACUCAAUUACCCCUGAUAUUAACAUCUUAUAUCACCACCAUACAUUUGUCACAGCUAAUGAAGCAGUAUUUUUACAUUAUCACUAAACUCCAUACUCUAUUUGGAUUUCAUUAGUUUUAAUUUUUUCUCUUCCAGGAUCCCAUCAAAGAUACCACAUAGUUACGUCCCAAACACGUCUCCUUCAGCUUCCUGUGGCUGUGUCAGUUUCUCAGAAUUUCCUUGUUUUUGAUGACCUUGACAUUUUUGAGGAGUACUGCUCAGCUAUAUUGUAGACUGUCUCUCAAUUUGAGUUUGGUUGACCCGGGCUCUGGGGUUUUUGGGAACAAGCCCACAGGGGUGAAGUGCCAUUCUCAACACAGCAUAUCAAGGGUAUAUAAUACCCACUCGAUUGAUCACUGAUGAUGCUAACCUUCACCACCUGGCUGAGGUCGUGAUUCCCAGCUUUCUCCCUGUGAAGUUCCCAUUUUCUGUGUCCCUCUCCACACAGCAGUCUUGGGAAGGAAGUCACUGCGUGCAGCCCACACUUAAGGGGUGUUCUGCUAUAAAUAUUUGCAUGCAGGUUUUUGGGCAAAUGUAAGUUUUCAAAUGAGUUGGGUAAAAACCUAGGAGAGUGAUCAGUAGGUUGUAUGGUAAAUCUAUGUUUGGUUUUAUAAGAAACUGCUGAAUAUCUUCCAUAACAGCUGUGCUAUUCUGUAUUCCUGCCCACAAUAAAUGAGGGAUCCUGCUGCUCCACGUCACAGGCAGCACUUGGCAUCACCAGCUUUUGGAUUUAGGACAUUCUAAUAGGUGUGUAAUGGUACAUCACUAUUGUUUUCAUUGCCAUUUCCCCAAAGACAUCUGAUGUUGAACAUCUUUUCAAAUGCUUAUUAGCCGUCUAUAUCUGCUUUGGUGAGGUGUGUGUUCAGUCUUUAGCUCAUAUUUUAAUUCAGCUAUUUGUUUUCUUACUGUUGAGUUUUAAGAGUUCUAUAUACGGGGCUGGCUCCAUGGCCAAGCGGU